rnacentral:rRNA from 1 species
UACACACCGCCCGUCACACCAUGGGAGUCGUUUGCUCCAGAACGCGCCUGCGCCAACCGCAAGGAGGCAGGGUUCCAAGGAGUGAACGGUAACUGGGUG